rnacentral:rRNA from 1 species
GAUGAACGCUGGCGGCGUGCCUAAUACAUGCAAGUCGAGCGAACAGACGAGGAGCUUGCUCCUCUGACGUUAGCGGCGGACGGGUGAGUAACACGUGGAUAACCUACCUAUAAGACUGGGAUAACUUCGGGAAACCGGAGCUAAUACCGGAUAAUAUAUUGAACCGCAUGGUUCAAUAGUGAAAGACGGUUUUGCUGUCACUUAUAGAUGGAUCCGCGCCGCAUUAGCUAGUUGGUAAGGUAACGGCUUACCAAGGCAACGAUGCGUAGCCGACCUGAGAGGGUGAUCGGCCACACUGGAACUGAGACACGGUCCAGACUCCUACGGGAGGCAGCAGUAGGGAAUCUUCCGCAAUGGGCGAAAGCCUGACGGAGCAACGCCGCGUGAAUGAUGAAGGUCUUCGGAUCGUAAAACUCUGUUAUUAGGGAAGAACAAAUGUGUAAGUAACUAUGCACGUCUGGACGGUACCUAAUCAGAAAGCCACGGCUAACUACGU